GGAAGGGUCGCAUAGUAGGUCUAGUGCGGCGGUUUGCUAAACCGCUGACCGGGGUUUCCUGGUCCGUGGGUUCGAAUCCCACCCCUUCCG
rnacentral:tRNA from 1 species